GAUGAACGCUGGCGGCGUGCCUAAUACAUGCAAGUCGAGCGAACGGACGAGAAUCUUGCUUCUCUGAUGUUAGCGGCGGACGGGUGAGUAACACGUGGAUAACCUACCUAUAAGACUGGGAUAACUUCGGGAAACCGGAGCUAAUACCGGAUAAUAUUUUGAACCGCAUGGUUCAAGAGUGAAAGACGGUCUUGCUGUCACUUAUAGAUGGAUCCGCGCUGCAUUAGCUAGUUGGUAAGGUAACGGCUUACCAAGGCAACGAUGCAUAGCCGACCUGAGAGGGUGAAGGGCCACACUGGAACUGAGACACGGUACAGACUCCUACGGGAGGCCGCAGUAGGGAAUCUUCCGCAAAGGGCGGAAGCCUGACGGAGCAAUGCCGCGUGAGUGCUGAAGGUCUUUGGAUCGUAAAACUCUGUUAUUAGGGAAGAACAUAUGUGUAAGUAACUGUGCACAUCUUGACGGUACCUAAUCAGAAAGCCACGGCUAACUACGUG
rnacentral:rRNA from 1 species